rnacentral:rRNA from 1 species
GGGGAAUAUUGCACAAUGGAGGAAACUCUGAUACAGCGAUGCCGCGUGAGGGAAGAAGGUUUUAGGAUUGUAAACCUCUGUCUUCGGGGACGAAAAAAAGACGGUACCUGAGGAGGAAGCUCCGGCUAACUACGUGCCAGCAGCCGCGGUAAUACGUAGGGAGCGAGCGUUGUCCGGAAUUACUGGGUGUAAAGGGAGCGUAGGCGGGAUCGCAAGUCAGGUGUGAAAACUAUGGGCUUAACCCAUAAACUGCAUUUGAAACUGUGGUUCUUGAGUGAAGUAGAGGUAAGCGGAAUUCCUAGUGUAGCGGUGAAAUGCGUAGAUAUUAGGAGGAACAUCAGUGGCGAAGGCGGCUUACUGGGCUUUAACUGACGCUGAGGCUCGAAAGCGUGGGGAGCAAACAGGAUUAGAUACCCUGGUAGUCCACGCCGUAAACGAUGAUUACUAGGUGUGGGGGGACUGACCCCUUCCGUGCCGCAGCAAACGCAAUAAGUAAUCCACCUGGGGAGUACGACCGCAAGGUUGAAACUCAAAGGAAUUGACGGGGGCCCGCACAAGCAGUGGAGUAUGUGGAUUAAUUCGAAGCAACGCGAAGAACCUUACCAGGUCUUGACAUCGUAUGCAUAGCUCAGAGAUGAGUGAAAUCUCUUCGGAGACAUAUAGACAGGUGGUGCAUGGUUGUCGUCAGCUCGUGUCGUGAGAUGUUGGGUUAAGUCCCGCAACGAGCGCAACCCUUACUGUUAGUUGCUACGCAAGAGCACUCUAGCAGGACUGCCGUUGACAAAACGGAGGAAGGUGGGGAUGACGUCAAAUCAUCAUGCCCCUUAUGACCUGGGCCUCACACGUACUACAAUGGCUGUCAACAGAGGGAUGCAAAGCCGCGAGGUGGAGCGAACCCCUAAAAGCAGUCUUAGUUCGGAUUGUAGGCUGCAACCCGCCUACAUGAAGUCGGAAUUGCUAGUAAUCGCAGAUCAGCAUGCUGCGGUGAAUACGUUCCCG